GUAGUAUCUUAGGGAGCACAUGUACUAAAAUUGGGAUGGUAUGGCAAAGAUUGGAAUGGCUUUUGCACAAGGAAGAAUGACAUAAAAAAUUGUGACAUACUCCAUAUUUUU
ensembl:snRNA U6 U6 spliceosomal RNA